CGGGGUGUAGCUCAGCUUGGUAGAGCGCUACGUUCGGGACGUAGAGGCCGUAGGUUCGAAUCCUAUCACCCCGA
rnacentral:tRNA from 1 species